GACGAACGCUGGCGGCGUGCUUAACACAUGCAAGUCGAACGGAAAGGCCCUGCUUUUGUGGGGUGCUCGAGUGGCGAACGGGUGAGUAACACGUGAGUAACCUGCCCUUGACUUUGGGAUAACUUCAGGAAACUGGGGCUAAUACCGGAUAGGAGCUCCUGCUGCAUGGUGGGGGUUGGAAAGUUUCGGCGGUUGGGGAUGGACUCGCGGCUUAUCAGCUUGUUGGUGGGGUAGUGGCUUACCAAGGCUUUGACGGGUAGCCGGCCUGGGAGGGUGACCGGCCACAUUGGGACUGAGAUACGGACCAGAAUCCUACGGGAGGCAGCAGUGGGGAAUAUUGCACAAUGGGGGGAAGCCUGAGGCAGCAACGCCGCGUGCGGGAUGACGGCCUUCGGGUUGUAAACCGCUUUCGCCUGUGACGAAGCGUGAGUGACGGUAAUGGGUAAAGAAGCACCGGCUAACUACGUG
rnacentral:rRNA from 1 species